ACUGCUUCUUAACCUUUUGCUAAGAUCAAGUGCAAUAUCUGUCCUCAGUUUAAUACCUGAUAUGUCCUUUAUCCAAGUACAACAUAUUAAAUGAAUUUUCGGAAUUAAGAGAUGGAAUAAGAGCAUGUUCUGUCCACUCCACACAUCAACCUGGUAUUACAGCAUUUUCAGGAAUGGUAUACACACA